rnacentral:rRNA from 1 species
AGUGAACGCUGGCGGUAGGCCUAACACAUGCAAGUCGAACGGCAGCACAGUAAGAGCUUGCUCUUACGGGUGGCGAGUGGCGGACGGGUGAGGAAUACAUCGGAAUCUACUUUUUCGUGGGGGAUAACGUAGGGAAACUUAAGCUAAUACCGCAUACGACCUUCGGGUUAAAGCAGGGGAUCUUCGGACCUUGCGCGAUUGAAUGAGCCGAUGUCGGAUUAGCUAGUUGGCGGGGUAAAGGCCCACCAAGGCGACGAUCCGUAGCUGGUCUGAGAGGAUGAUCAACCACACUGGAACUGAGACACGGUCCAGACUCCUACGGGAGGCAGCAGUAGGGAAUAUUGGACAAUGGGCGCAAGCCUAAUCCAGCCAUACCGCGUGGGUGAAGAAGGCCUUCGGGUUGUAAAGCCCUUUUGUUGGGAAAGAAAAGCAGCAGGUUAAUACCCCGCUGUUCUGACGGUACCCAAAGAAUAAGCACCGGCUAACUUCGUG